rnacentral:lncRNA from 1 species
UUUUUUUUUUUUUUUUUUUUGGGGUGUCCCUCUCCGUCCAACAGAAACCCAAAAGUAGUAAAAAUUAUAUGGGCAUCCGCAAGAGUGAUUGAUCGAUCAAAGGCCGCGACUUCAUCUUAUUUGAAAAUUUGUAAGUUUAAGCGCUAUGAACGUUUCCACUCCCAGAUGAUGAAGAAUGGCCCUGGAAAUCCAUCAUCAUCAUCCAUUGUUGAAUCUCUUCUUCUCCGAUCGCUUCCCAGAAUUCCAUACCGUUGCUGGUCCCAAGCUCCAUCCCAGAAGUAUCAACAAUCUCAUUUUUAGCUUUAAUUUCUGGCUGCAAUUGCUUGUGAGGCAGAUGAUGAUGAUGAUGUUGAUCGCGUUCUGGAACCUGUUGGGGUGAGCUCGAACUCUGGUGGCCGUCCAACGUAUAAUCGGAGAAUGGGAAAUUCAGCUUUGCUCUGGGACCCCUGAACUCAAUGGCCGCGCGGUCAUAAGCCCGGGCAGCAUCCUCGGCAGUCUCAAAAGUUCCAAGCCAAACCCGAGCUGCCUUGCGAGGAUCCCUUAUCUCUGCAGCCCAUUUCCCCCACGGCCUCUGUCUCACUCCUCUGUAGUUCUUCUUCUUUCUCUUGACCCCAUUUUUCUUGUUAUUAUCCUCGACUGGGGCGGCUGAGGGCGAGAAGUAGUUGCAUCCCAAGCAGCCUUCGUAUCCGCACAACUGACAAGUCUGGACUGCAGCAGCAGGCACGACUAGAUUAUUUGCAUUGAAAAAAGCAGAGGAGGAGGAGGAGGAGGAGGAGGCUGUGGCGCAUUCGAAUAACGAUGGCGGAAAGAGUCUAAAGUCGUGGAGUGUAUUUGCGUCUGCAUAAGGGGUGGUGGUGGUGACAGUGGAGGCGCCAGCAAUGACAUUCUUCAGAGCGGCCACCAUGACGGAGACUUCUUGCUCGCUGGUGAUCAUACGCGGAGGAGGAGGAGGAGGAGGAGGCAGUGGCGGCGGGAGGAUGGAGGUGGCAUGGGAGCUGGUCAAAGGGAUUCCCUCUUGUUUGAGCCUCUUGGUUGACCUCUGCAUGCUGAAGAAGUAGCAGUAACAACUAAGUAAUAAUCAGUAGGGAGCAGCAAGCAGCAGUUUUCUUGAAACUGGGAACUUGGGGGUGGGGCGUCUGUUAUUCGUCCUGAGAUAAUUGCUUUGUGAUUGUUGGGUAAGAUUUGAGACAAGAAGGAAAGAGGUCAAAGUGGUCGGGGGGGUUAUAUACGGAGAGAGUGCCAGCUCAUACGCCGUUCACACACGGGGUUAUUUGAGGAGCUUGUUUUGAUGGGCUGGCACGUGGGGCAAUUUUGAGAUGGUCUUAGGAUAUCCUGGUGAUGUUUGGGAUGAUGGAGGCGACAUGCGUUGCGACGCUGGGCUGGGAUCUACUGAAACUUCAUUCUUGGAGGGUGAGCUGGCAGGACCACGUCAACAUUCGAGGAAGGUGAAUGUACACUUCAAACCUUGAAAGCUACUGACGUGUCAGCUGCAUCUUAUAAUAGUAUCGUCUACUCACCGAACUGCCACUGCUACGGACGUUUUGGUACCCAUCGGGAAGUCCGUAUCAUAGUUGUCUUUUUUUUCCCCUUUUUUUCUUUUCGGUUCCAGUUAUCCUCAGUUCGAGUACCUCAAUAUUUUUGGAGUUAAUUAUACUCAAACCCCUGAGGUUCGACCAUCUUGUGAGUUAAACCUACAUGAUUGACAAUAUUAUGAAAAGCUCCUCCAUCAUGAUAAACUUAUAAUUGACACCUCCUACCGUUGCCCUACUAAUGCUGACAGUUAAUUUUCUAGUAAUGGCAACUGUUAUGUUUUAUGAAAGUCCCAUAUCACCCGCCGUCAUGCCCAAGUUCUCAUUCUUUCCUUUCCAUUCAAAAUCAAUAAAUCACUUACGACUAUCGUUAAAAUUUUCAUUUUCGUUUAAAGACAAAAAUUUAAACUCAUAUUCCAUCAAUACUUUCUAUUUGUUGGGCUAAGAAAUGCUUACUCGUAAGAGUAUGAUUGUAAUACGACCAAACCUCACAGUUGGUUCUAUAUUUUAGUUAAACUCAAUGGAUGUAAUUAUAAUUAACUCAUAUUUCUAAGAUAAGGUUAAUUAAAAAAUAAUUGAUUCAUAUUUCUCAUAUUUUUAACAAUACAUAGUCAUGCACUACUCUUGAAUACUGAAAAAUAACCCAGCCUUAAUUCUAAUUUUUUUGUAAAAUCCUAAACCCAGGUCAAAAGAUAAGUUUAAUAAAUUCAGUUGGAAAAAGAAUAUAAUUUCAUUAUAAAAUUAUUUUCUUUUUGUGGCCCAUUAAUUGCCAUAGCAAAUCAAUUUGAUAAGGCUUUUCUUCUCCAGUAUUUCUUUUAACUUUACCUUAUCUAAAUGGUGCAAGAGCUACCAUAAUAACUAAAAGGAAGAAAAUACAGAAGGCAUUAGCCUUUCCUUUAACUUUUAGAAAUUUUGGCUAAUUUUGUUUUUAAUAAAAAAAAUUAAUAAUUGUUAAUUAGGCUAAGAGAUCCUUUAGUAGUUUUAUGUACAUUGGUCCAAACAAUAAAUGUUAAAAUUUCAAAAUUAUAAAUAAUUCCCAAAACUCGUAAAAAUUACCUGAAAAAACUUUACGAUGGAGAAAAUCACUUUUUGUCAAUUAAGUGUUUUAAGUCAUAAUUUUGAGGCUAAAAGUUAGAAAAUUAAAAAUUUUAUAAAAAAAUUAUUAAGCAUCUUAAACUUACCUAAAACACUAUGUAAUAAAGAUUUUUCUUUUGUUUUGUAUUUUGAAUGCACCUCAAAUAAUUUUUUUAACAUAUAGUGAUUGUACCUUUAAUACACUUACUACUAAUGAUUUUGGCACAUCAAAUUUACAUCUUUAGGUACUUUAUUUCGCCCUUUGUUAACAAUCUUUUAUUAAUAAAUUUGUCAAAUUGUACAAAAAUUAAGAUAACAUAAGGUAAUUUUGAAAUGAAAUUAUCUUCUUUCUCCUAAAAUGAGUUUUUUUAAUAUUAUAUUUUGAAGAUUCUGACAAUGUUAUAAAAAGUCAAAAUUAAGAGAGAUUUGUGAUAUUUUUGAAAGUUUAAGCAUGAGAAGUAAAACUAUGAGAAACUUAAGGGGUGGUUUUAGAAAUUAUCCCAAAAUGAAAACCAUGUCAGCGUGUUCUUAGCUUUUGGUCUGGACGGUUAAGGACCGUGACAUAAUCGCUGACGAAGGCAACUUACAUGAUGUAAGAAUAUUGGGGACAUUGACACUGUCCGCUCGAGUAUUGACCUUUUCUGGUGACAGAAGUUUCCUGCGCUUCUAGAUUCGUUAACGCGAAACAAGAAGAUUAGCUUCUAAGUCAUUUACAUCCAGCUGAACUGCAUUAAGUAAAAAUUUUUUUUUUUGGGAUAAAAAUUAAUCCUUGGUUGGAAAGCCAUUUUUACCAAAAAAUUUUUACGUUUUUUAUAAACACAGUUUUUUUUCAAUCACCUUCUUAUUUUAAAUAUAUCAAAUUGAUAUAUAUAUAUAUAUAUUUUAACAAAAAUUUCAAAAAAUUGCAAUUCAAAACAAAGCCUAAAUUCUUUAGAGAUACAAAGUAAUGCUUGUCAAUUUUCCUCUAUAACGUGGAUUUAGUUAUUUGGUUGCUUGCCUUGUGAUUAUAGCGAUGCGAAUAUCACCUUUUCUGAGGUAGAACUACUAAAAUAACAAAAUUAAUUGGGAAAAAAAAAACUGAAAAGUCCUUUUGACACUACUAUGUCAUUAUCUGUUUAUUGUAUUUGAGACAUUCAUUGUUCUCAUCAAUAAAUGAUCACAGGAAUGCUGACUCGAAACGUAUAUCUUGAAAUCCGGAAUCCCAUUCUUAUUCUUUAACAUCUUUUUUAUUUCUUUUUUUGUUGAGGGUUUCAAUGUUGGUUAGUAGUAAGCAAGUAGGACACUUGGAUGCGAUUCUGAAAGGAAUACCAAAUACUAACACUAUUUCAAACCAAACGAACAAUGACCUUACCAAACCCAUUGAGGAAAAAGAAAUCAAUAAAGAAGCCUUAUUAGCCAUGAACCUCAGCAAUCACAGAGUAUUUAUGGUGGUAGGUGGAAUGGUUUAGAAAUCGGAUAAUUUGAAAUUGAAUAUGUGGACAUAAAUUUUAACAAGUGAUAAAAGUAUUAUGUUUUCGCAUGUCGUUGUCUUUGUGUCAACAUUAAUUAAUUUAAUAUCUAUAUUUAUUGUAUUAAGAUCUAUGAAUCUCUGGAUAGACAUUCUACCAUAAAUUAUAAUUUUUGACUUAGCAGCUAAAAAUGAAUAAAAGGCACGCCAGAUACGUUCCAAAAUCCAAGACACUGAUGAUCCAAAGUUUGGGCAAACGGGCAUGACAAUUGCGAGGUUUGAGUGCCAAAAACUACAAGCCCCUCCUGGGCAGCUCGUCUGGCAGCGCACGCCUCCUUAGGAGCGUUUGCCAGGGGUUCGAGUCGUGCAGGGUUACCGUGCUUGGGGGGAUGGGGCCUCUCCUCUCGGGCCGCUGGGGAUUAGUCGGGCCGCCUUCGGGUCUUGACCCGGACACCCCAGUGUCGACAAAAAAAAAAAAAAAAAAGUGUGCCAAAAACUACAAAUAGUAGUAUAGUCACAUGUGCCAACGAUGGCUACUGUUGAUGUUACAAGAGCUAGAGUCCCGAGUUCUAAUAUAUAUAUAUAUAUAUAUUUUUACCGUUUUUCAAAUUCCAUCCAUCUCAUGCAAUAAAAAAAAAAAUCCAACUAAUUAUCAGUGCAAAGUUAUCUUGAAUCUGUUCAUAGCUUCCAAGAUGAAGAAUUACAUUGGCGCAUAAUCAUGGCAUAUGAAUCUAGAAACCCAAAAUAAUCUCUACCAGACAGAUAAUGGUAAUGGUGCUAAUGGGACGUCAAAAUUUUGAACCCCAUCAAGCUGUUGAAAUGUGCAAAAGGCGUUGGAACUUGGGGAUUCCGGUGAAGUGAAAGAAGAAAAUUUAUUUCUAAAGCUCAAUUAUCGGUGCCGUCAAUGGCGUACUUAACGUGGUAAAAAUUCCAUCGAUAACAUCAAAAAUUUACGAGAGCUAAUGACAUGGUUCAUAAGGGAAAGGAAAAUGCACAAGAGCCUUCAAACUUAGCACAAAACACUAACGAUAGGCGAGGAGGAGGUAAACCGUUGCUCAGUCAUUUUCAACACUAACUGUGGAAAGAAAAAGUACAACUGGGGAAGAUCCUGCUAUCUAUGCUUUUAUACACCAAAAAUGCGGUUCUGAAUCUAAACCGCGCGGCACUACAUCUUUCUUUGCUGUUCUUCUUUAAUCACAAGAAAGAGUACACUUGAGUCCCUGCAAGCUGGAGAACCAACAGUCAGUGGAUUUAGAGCAAGGAAACAGAUGAUUCUACCAACCAGAUGCAGCCCUAUGCUCAUAUGGCAGUCUGCUCAAAACGGAUUCUUCAUACAGCAAAUUUGAGCAAAUUCUUCCAGUUAGUCAUCAUCCUCUGAGUCUGCGUUGAGAUGGAUAUAUGUUAGCAACUCCUUGAUGUAUUAUACAUUCUAGUGGGAAAGUCACAAGGCAUGUGUGGAUUUUCAAAAGAUUGAUAACCAAAAACUUCUGAAACGUUAUAGGUCAGUAUUAGUAGUAAAUUGAUAUUGUAUUAAAUCAGUAAUUUUAACAUUAUUAAUGCAUGAUGAGGGUAGAAAAUAGAAAUUCAAAAUGUACACGAAAGAGUCACAACCAACACCUGGUGUGAAAGGAAAAAAGACUACAGCAAUUGUUCCAGGUAACACAAUAUAUCAAAUUGAAGCAGGUCAUCACUUUAUGGAGAUGCAAAAGAUAAUCCAAAUGAAAUUAAUAAGGCAUCUUAAUCACUGUGGAUAAAUUAUCCUAUACUGUAAUCACAAAGGAAAAGUCAACGCCUAGGAACGGAAAAAUUAAGACAGGCACUUCCCAUAAUUUGGAAAGUGUGGGAACUUCAAUAUAACCAUGUAACUCCCAAGUAUAAGAUUAUUAUGUGGAAAAAAAAUUCAGUCAUACUUCAAAUCGAAAUCCAACUUCAACUCUUCUGAUGUAUGUUUCUCAUGCUGAUCUUUAAUUAUUCCAUAUGCUACCAGAUUUUUACCUAAAAUGCCCAUUGAUCCACCAAGGCCUGAGAAAAGGAUGCUAAAAAAACUGAGCAGCAUCAAAAGACUCUCGCAAAGUGUAGGUCACUAAAAUGGUAAAGGUCGAAAAGCUAACUUUCCCUUUUUUCCUAAUGUCGAAGGAAAAAGAAAAGAAAAAGGUAUUAAUACUUCAUCCCCUAGUUUAGAUUGUAUUUUCUUUACUAUCUUCUUAAAUGAUUAACCAAAAAAAAAAUUCUCCUGAUAACUUGCAUGUAAACGAUCAUAAACAAGUAAAAAACAGAAACACAACAAGGUGAGAGCACAAGAGUUCAGUUCCAGAAAAACAUUUUCUUCCUGUCAAAUAAAACAUAUUUGGCAAUUUCAACAAUACUUACCAGAACGUAUAUCUUCUCCAACUUUUCCCCUGUUUUUUAGCUGUCUCAUGAUCAUUGCACAUAUGAGAAACCACCAGUAAAUGUGGAAAACAAGCAGCGUCAAUAGCAUUGUGUUGAACACAUAGUACAAGGAGGCAUCAUAAGUGUCUGAUAAAUUGAGGCACAAAACUAUGUAAUAGCUGGGGGAAUGACAAUGACAAAUUAUUAGCAGAAAACAAUCAGAAUAUGAGAAUGAAAACUAAAACAAAAUACCUGUUUGAGAAGCAAACCUUGAAGAUCUUAUGACCCAAAAUGGAAAGUAUAUAAGCCUCAGCACGAGCCAUGAGAGAGCAAAUAACCCAAAGCAUACACUAGCUCCAAAUUCCUUCUCAGAAUAUUUAAAAACUUUAGCAGCUUCCAUGAAGACAUCGCUUGCAUCAUGCAAAGCAAGAAUAAUAGAGCCAAUUCGGAAAAACCUACAUGGAUCAAAAGUUAAAUAUUUCAAAUUAACAUAUCCAUGACUUAACAUGAUAUCUAUAACCACCAACUGAAGUGAAAAUAAUGCAAAUAUGAUCCUUUUUUUUACUUUCAAGUGAUUAAUAAAGUUCUGCAGCCUUUUCGAGUAAAGAGGAUAUGCUCUCUGUUGUCAUGUUCAAAGGACAUACUCCAAAGUGUCAGAUGAAAAAAACAUUGCUAGAGGCACAAACGUACCUUGUAAUAUAUGAAUAGCUAAUCAAGAUAACAGUGACAACAUGAUGGGACAUCAUCACUGCAAAAUCUUUCCUGCGUGUUUCCCAAGUAAGUAAAGCAGAAAUGCUGUAGAUGUAGAAGCCACAUUGACACAUGUAGAUGAGCUUUAUAGAGGGCCUGCAAUGUGAGACACAAUCGAGUGAUUUGAGAUAGCAAGAUUUCGAACAAGUAAGAACCCAGGCUAAGAGCAAACAACAAGAAAUUUCUUAAAUCACAGAAUUACUAUUCCUCAGAUAGAAAUGAAGCAUAAACCAGAGACUGUUCCCAACAAACUAGUGUUAGAAAAUAUUUAAGUAUAAAAUAAAAUUAUCCCAAAAAAUUUAAUGCCACUUCCAAGAAUCAGGUUUCUGUUUCAAAGUUGCAGUGAUCUGUGGUAGUCUCCCAGGACAUUGGCAAGGUCUUGUUGGUAACCUCCCACAAGACGAGAAAAAGAAAAACCCAAACUACAACAGUAAAGCUAUUCCAUGAGAUAAGAACAAAAUAUACUUGGAAAUUGUGCUAGAAAACAUAUGUAGCCAUUUGAAUUUUAAACGUACCAAGUAUGUUAGGAUCUUCUAUUAAACUUAACUUUAGAAUAGCAGUUAGACCUUUUCAGCUGGUUUAAUUUGAAGUAACUACAUUAGAAAUUGCAGCCAAGAACAAGAAGCUUCAUUAAAGGAGAUUAAAGUAAAACCAAAAACGUUUCUUAGUAUUAGAAGGUCAAUUUUAACAACAUCUAUUCCACACUACUUCACAGACAAGUUAGCAACAUAUUAAAUGACAAGCAUGGACCCACCUGAAAUAAAAGAUACGCUCUCUGUUCCAUUGUUAAUGUCCUGUUUCUAUUUUUUUGAUAUCCCAAAAUAUUAGUUGCUUUCCAAUUUUGCCAUUUGAAAAACUUUUCAAAUCUCAAUACACAUUUACCAAGCAGAUAUUUAGAAUUUAAAGGUUACAUAUGUAAAUUGAUGCAAUGUCACCCAGUCUAGACACAACAAUUACAUGUCUCCAUAAAAAGUUGGGUUCCACCAAAAAAUGACUCUAAUUAUGGGUCUGAGAGAAUAUAUUAUACUAACAAAACAUUUAAUACAUUUCAGUUAAAGUAAGUGCCUGUUUGAUAACAUAAAAAAGUGCUGAAACUGAAUUCAUUCAGACAUUCAGAUGUUGUGGGUGUUUGAUAAAUAAAAAUUCACCUGCUGAACUUAUUAAGUGGUGCUGAAUUUGUAUGUAUUUUUUUCAGCACAAGAAUCGUAGCUGAAUGCUUAAUUUGAUAAGAAUCAAGAGAUUUACUUCAACUACUUUAUCUUAUCUACCAAAUAUAUCCCUGUUUGUUAAUUACAUUCAAAAUCCUUAUCUAAUUAAACAACCUAAUAUUCCUUAUUCAAAAUCCUUAUCUAAUUAAACAAAACAACUUGAUAUUCUCUAUUCAAAAAUUUUUUUUAACAAUAGUAUUUUUUUGCAGUAAUUUUCAUCCACAAACAUUUAUAUUUUGAUAUAUAUUUUUUUUGUACAGAUAAAUAUUAUUUAUGUGAUGCAGCUUAUCCACACACACAUGGCUUUAUGACACUAUAUCGAAAUAUUAGAUAUUGGUUGUCUGAUUUUCGAAAUACUUCUCGUCCAAGAUCAAAAGAAGUACGUUUUAACCAAACACAUGCAAGAUUGAGAAAUGUAAUUGAACAUGCUUUUAGAGUAUUAAAAGCUCGUUUUCCCAUUCUCAAAACGAUGAAACCAUACCCUUUUCCCACACAAAGAAACAUUGUCAUUGUAUGCAUUGCUCUUCACAAUCAUUGUCAUUUUCAUACCUAACAAUUUUAAGUUAAUUAAAUCAUAGGUUUUAUUUCCUUUUUGGAUUAAAAGAUAGAAUGGCAAAAUUGUACAAUCUAGCUUAUUAAGCAUUAAAUUAUGAAUAUUUAUCAAACAGUAUAAAUAGAUUCAGCAUUAAGAUUCAGACAUUCAUAUAUCUCUUUUCAGUGCUUAAAAUUCAGCAAAUUAAUUAUUUCAGAAUUCAGAAUUCAGAUUCAGUGUUAUCAAACGGAGCCUAAAUUUACCUUUUGGACCUCAUGUAAAGAGCUAUAGAAAAUUGUUACACCAGAAGUAUGCAUGCCCAACAAUGAGUUAAAAUUUCAGUGAGACCCUACAAUAUUUGUAUUUAUUGAUCCAACAGAUAUAAAGCACAGCAUCAUUUAUUUCCCCAAAAAAUAGAGGAGAUUUUUAUCAAAAAAUAUACGAAAAUAGAAGGUAAAAGAUCUGAGGUAGUUGAGCAUAAUUUAAUCAGACCAACCAUGCAAGAAGAAGCAAACUUUGCUUGUGAAUUAACUCUCCUGUUAACUGCUAUAGCAUUGAGCAUAAUAUGUCACUUCAAUUACUCUAAAAAUCCAAAAUCAGCCCCGCAUGUUUAGUGCUUGAACAAUAUCAAUCAAUGACUUACUUGAGGUGUUGGUUUGGCCACCCUCUGAAGUACUCCUGUAUAUCUGUGAACCACGGCUCACCAUAGAUGACCAAUAGGACAGACAAUUCAACAGUGGCAUAAUAUGUUAGCUUCCACAAAGACUCAGAACAUUUUGCAAUCUUCAUCCUUCUAGCCUUGUUAAUUUUCAGUGGAAUAGAUCCAUUGCUCAAUAACCAUGUUGCUACCCUCUGUAGACAGAAAAUUAAGAAAAUGAUGUAUCUGGAUAUGCUCAAUAGGUUCACAAGUUCAACCACUAGCCAAAGAAAGAUAAAAGUGAUUAUUCUGUUGAUAUUGCAAUGCAUUCUUUAUACUAUUGGAACUGUUCUUGGGAGGAAAACUCUGACAUCUAAUUAUUCAGGAUGUUCUAACAUGUCAAACUAGCAAGCCAAAAGAAAGGGGAAAAAUACUCUAAAACAAACAAACUCCGUGUCUGCUUGAGGGAUUUAUAGAAGGCUUUCAUUUCUUCUAUGAGACAUUAAAGUGCUUAUGAAUGGCUCUCACUAGGCUGAGCGUAAAGACUGCAGAGAACUCUGGUCAACCCGUAUAAUGCUCAAUCUCACCAGGAAUAAAAUACACUGGUACCAUCUAAAAUUAGCUGCUUCAGAAGGAAGGGAAACUCUCAAACAAGGCUAAAAAUAUAUGCGGUGGACAAAGAUAGCAUCAUCUUUUUAUAUUUUGUGAAUGUAAUGAUCAUGUAUUUUUCUAGUUCCUAGCAAACUAAAAACAUUUUAAAACCUGGGCCAAGCAACAAUAAGAAAUCAUUCACCUGCACAGUCAUCUCCUCUCCCACUUCCUGCAAUCCGUAAAAGAGGACUUAAAAUGGCCAAUGAAAGGAACUACAGUGCCGAAUGUUCCAGCAGCAAUAAAUGAGAUGAUAAAAAGUAAAAGAAGAUUCAGGUUCAACGUGUCAAUGAUAUAACUGCUGCUGCAGCCAAGGUGGAAAAAGUUUUCUUUUGUUUGUUAUAUGGAACUUACUUUAGAAAACUGUAAUUCCAUCAGAAGAGGUAAGUUUAGUUGGACUGCUUGCUGCACUAAAAUUCAUAAUUUGCAGCACCUAUGCAAUCUUUGGAAGCAACUUGACUCCAAUCUUACAGCUCUUGAUAGACUUAAAUGUGAAAAGACAAUUUCACGGUAAAUGGAAAAAGUGAUACCCAAUUUUCCCCCAAAGGUAGAAAACCCAAACUCCCAAGCAAUACUUUUUCAUCUCUACCUGUACCAUUAUUAAACAUUGAUUACUUAGAGACUCCCAUUUCAGUAUCUUCCAAACAAGCCAAACAAUGCAUCAAGCUAAUCAGGACUUUCUCUUAAGAGGUCACUUAAUCUACCAGCCAACUACAGUAGGAUACGUCUAGAGCAUAAAGUUCGUGAACCAUACAAUAAGGCAGUGCAAAAGGGAAUCAAUCAAAUUGACAAACAAGAGAUAUGCAAAUUUCCACAAUAUGCCAAGUCUUCAAUAAAGGUGCUACUUUCACCCAGACAAACAAGUGCUCCAUCUUGCAGGCAGAUGUAUGCACAAAAUAAGAAUUUCAAACUUCUCCAACAUAUAUAGAUUAAUUUGACCUUUCUCAGUUUGAAUUAGUUUGGGUUCCUUUGUUUAUACCCUCUACUUUAUCAGUAUCUCCAUGUGCUUGGUUUCUUAUUUACAAAACUCUAAUGCAUCCGGACAACCAGAUUACAUUAGAUUGAAAAAUCAUACUGUCUUUUGCUGUAAAUUUUGCAAAAUGCUAAUUAAUCAGAAUUGGACAAAGCUACUCUUGGGCAGAUUCUUGAUUAUAGCUUCAUAGCCCUGUAAUCGCUUCUUAUUGGUUCCCUGCCCCCCACCAAAAUAAAUGAAUCCAUAGACUAAUUGGCUACUGAAAAAUCUAAAUUUUAGAUGCAAAAUCAAACGAUAAAAUCAAAGGACUGAUUUUGUCACAAUCCAAAUCUAUAAUCAGGUGAAGCAAUCAAACGCAAACACCCCCAAGAUAUACAUUACGAUAAUGCAUGUUUCCAAUGUCCAUGACCAAAUGUAUUUGCACUGUUCGAAAACUGAUAGUUAAGAACAAUAGGCCGAAAUUCAACAACUCUUACACUACCAACUGUUGUCAAUCCGUCCAUCCUAAUUAACUUACUGCUUCGCAUCAAGCGCAUCGGAAAUUUCAAUCAAAUUAUCAUAAAGAAAGGAAUAAUUUUGCUAUCCGCAGAGCGCUCGUCUUGGUUUCCUGGAAAAGGAUGGAGUCGAUAAGGUGCAAACGUUUAAUAUGGUUGAACUUUAACACUUCGAGUAUCAAUAGAAACAAAUGGGGAAAAGUGUACCCCAAUUCUACCGUUUCAAGAUCCAAUAUAAAACAUUAGUGCAGAAUUCAGGCUGAAGAAGUCCAAUUCCAGUCAAGAUGCAAGAACAUCAAAAACAAUCUUCAAACAAUAAACACAAAUGAAUCAAAUGAGACAAAAACCAAUCAUUGACAAAUUCGCAAAUUAAGAUAGCGCGAGCAUAUUUACAUACAGAACAACAAGAACGGGAAGCUUACCUGAAGGAGGUGCUUAUCAAACAAAAACCUGGCGACGGCAAAACCGACUGCGAAAUAUACCGCCAACAGAAAAUGCCAGGCGCUGGGGACGACAUCGGCUUUCCACAUCGAAUCCAGAGCAGCAGAUUGGAUCAUCUUCAACUUCACGUCCACUCCACCCCUAGUUAAUCCUCAUACGUACUUUAGAAAAAAGAAAUCCCUAAUUAUACCCGAACUUGCAAUCUUUUUAUAGACAAAUCUACCAUCGCUGCAGAGGCUGUUGGAGUGGUGUGGGCGGUGAGUUGUAUUAAUUGUGUAUUGAAGCAAUGGAAAGUAAGGGAAGGACGCAGGGAGGAGGGAAAAAGGAGGCGGUUAAAGGUUAACAGGUUUUAAGGCUGGAAGGAAUGGUAAUGAGCAAAGAUGUGAAUGAAGGAAGGAAAGGGAAGGGGGAGGGAGAUCUUGCGAGUUGCGAGGAGAGAGGCGACUGGGUGCAUGCGGAUGCGGGUACACUACACUACAUAACUGCUAAUGAGUGGGCCCUCACCCCUCUCAGUACUUUACAACUUUCUUAAAUAUAUAUCAUUAGCACUCUCUCAUUUUUAUUAAUAAUCACAUUGUCACUAUUAUUUUAAUUAUACAAUAAUUUUCAUUUAUUGAACUAUAUAAUAAAAUAAAUGAUCGAAGUGUAAAUCAAGUGCAAAAUAUAUUUCCUUUACUAAAAUAGAUCAAAUAUAGAAAAAUAUAUUAGCAUUUUAUUUUGGUCUCUGCCACACAAUAAAUGUAUCAUUAGAGCUUGACUGUUUUACCAAAAAAAAAAAAAAACUCUAUUGUUUAAAAUAAAUCGUGCUAAUGUUUACAUUUGUUAUGUUAAUACUUAAUUAGUACAUUGAUUCAGUCGUCGCAUAGAUUAUUGUACAUGCGAACAUCAUUGUUUUCCAUCUGGUUGAUCCAACAAAUAAAAUUGAAACAAAGCUUUUUAGUGAAUCCAGUUAGUUUUUUUGGGAGCGUAUUUAGUUGGCAUUCAUAACACAUUUAAAUUUGGGAAAAACACAAAAAUUUAACAUAGGACUCGUUUAAUAAAUAUGUUGAAGUCAAACAUAUCAUUAAUGGACGUUCAAAUGAAUAUGUGUAUAACUACAUCAUAAAGAUUAAUUAAAUGUUCCUUGAUAAGUCAAGUCCACUAAAUUUAGAGUGAUAUGGACACUUCGGUUGAUAAAAAAAAAUUAGGAUUUGAGCCUUUAGUAUGAGUAGCAUGUUUGGCCCGGCCCUAAAAAAAGGGUACGAGUAGAUUAAAUUAGAUGACAAAAUAGAAAGGAUUUGGACAGUAGUAUAACCACAUCCGCUUUCCUCCAAAUCAACAUAAAAACAUGUACGUGUACGUGCACCCUGCCCCCCAUUCUUUGCUGUUUCGAAACCACUAAAGAGUCGUGAAUUCAAUGAUUUUGUCUACUGACAGUUGUCAGCUUCUCAUCUUUGAUUAAGAGAAAUGCCCAUGGAGACAUACACUUAAGUUAACCAUUGGGCCUUGGUCCGUGUACUCCGUCGGAGGUUCAAAACCUGUCUAGUGCUUCAUAAUAUGCUUCCUUGUUCUUCAAAAAUUUAGAAAGUACAAUAAUGUACUUGUUUAGAUUGAGAAUAUAAUGUAAGAAGAUAAGUGUCGUUCAUGUUCAUCUUCUAAGAGGACAUAGGGUACAAACUUUUUCUUCAAUUUUAUCGUAGGAUUAAGUUGGACGGUAAAAUAGAAGAAAUUAAAAGUAAGAGGUCUUGAAUUCAAAAUCUUUCACUUUUAAAUUUUUUUUUUUUAAAAAAAAUUCAAUUUCCUCAUCUGUAAAGCUCAUGCGAUACUAGUGUUUCUGUUGUAAUUCUUUCUGUCGUAAUUCCAAGCAGUUAAGCAAGUGUUCUUGUUUCAGAAUUGUACUGGCCAUUUAUCUUUGUUGACAAUGAUAAGGAGGUUUGAUGUCUAAACAAAAACAUUAUCCCUUGAAAAUAUGAUUGGGUUGAUCAGCAGUUAGGUUCUCUGAAGAUUGGGCUCGAAAGCUUUUUGAGACGAGGAUUGUACCGCACAUAAUGGACUUUCCAUCUAAGGCUUUGUGAUAAUAACUCCACUUCACAUGGCUAGGCCCAUUGGUGCAAUACGCCCACACACACUCAUAUACUGUUACCUGUAUAUGAGGUUUGCUUGUGUAUUGCUUGUGUUACCUGCAGAAACAGACAGAAAAGUGUAUUGCUUGUGAGGUUUCGGGUCCAAUUCUGUUACCUGUACGUUCAUAUACUGCAAUUUUCACUUCUAGUGCUCAAUUUAAACUGCGCUCAAAUAAGUUCCUUGACAUGCCUUCAAGCACAUAACUUGCCAUUUCAUCAUUUCCAUUGUUGUCGUACCAGUCUUCUAUUAGAGUAUUUUGAAUUGGUUUUUACUACUUAGCAAAAGGCUUUUACCAAAAUAAUGAGAAUGAGAGAAAAAUAUAUUUUUUUUUGGGUUUCUAAAUCUAAAAAUGAUUGUGGAUACAUUAUAGCUAGAAUAAUCUCUUUUACCCUAUUGAAGUGCUUCAAACCUUAUUUGUAGGAUUGUUGCUCUUGCUGUCUUUAUGCCUGUUUGCUUCCCUAGGUUGGUGACAUAGAUUAUUGUUGUUAGGCAGAAAAUAAGAUGAGAUCGAGUUCUUCCCAGUUCCAUCAUAUACACACAAACUACGAAAGAGAAGGGCAGAAAACAUGGCGAUUGCUGAGCUUGUGAGCAACUAUAGUCAGGUGUUCAGAUCAUCAAGGGUUUAUAGCACCUCAUGUUUUUGACGCGCAUCCCCUGAAGUUUGGAGUUGUGAUGGAGAACUUGUACGAAUGAGAAAAUAUCGUCAAUGACCUUGGCAUAUUAUCUCGGUCUUCAAUGUAUUACUCUUGCAAAGAAAGUAGUGACUUUGACAGCUACGGAAAAGCAAAUGUUUUGGCAAUGGAAGGAAAUAAUGACGCUAACGGAUUAAAAGUUGGUUGAGAAGAGAUGUCUGUCAUAGAAGUCAGAAGAAAAAGUUAAAUUGAUCAGGAUGGUUCAUGCCAAACUAACCAGCAGGUGAAGUGUGAGAUUUCUGACUUUGAUUGUUCAUGAAAUUAUACACCAAUAGGGGCUGGAGUAUUUCCUUUAAUCACUUCCACUACGAACCACGCCUUGUUAUCAUCGCAGAUGUUAGUUUUCACCAUAAAUUGGGCAUGAAAUUCGACUUCACAGUUGACAUAUCUGUGCUAUGCAUUGUCGCAUCAGUUAUUUAUUAUUGCGCAUUACCGACCUUAAAUGAUGCUACAAUUAUUUGAAACUGGUUGUUGUGGGCCUAUUUAUUGCCCUUGGGAGAUUUUUAUUUUUCCAAAAUCUGUAUUGCAGAAUUGCUUUAGAGCAAUGAAUCUUGAUGAAUUCACUUCACAGGUAGAGCGAGGGGUAUAUUGGUAGAAGUAUAUAGUUCAUCGAUUCAGCUGGUAUGGAUUUCUUUUUGAUGGUGGAAACUGGAAACCUUUUUAAACGGAGAAUCUAUAUAUGUUUUAUAAUUUUCAAUAGUUAAUCUUUGCUAAAAAGGGCUGGUGUUGCUUUUGCUGUUCAGAAGAACAAUUGGUGUAAUGAUGAUCAAUCCAUUUUAAAUGGAGAAUCUAAGUCAAAAUUUUAACCUUGCAAAAGAAGCUGAUCUUGGUAGCCUAAAGAAUGUGUCUGUUCUAGCUGUCAGAUAACUAAUUCCAGAACUCCUAUCUUAAAAAUCCGGCUGCCAAAGUCUUAUUCUCUUUGAGGUCUAGUUUCAUGAAGUAAUAUAUGUUUGUUUCAGCAAUUAAAGUUUGCAAGAUUAAAAAAAUCUCAGAAAAAGUUGUAUAUUUAGUUGAGUUUAUAUGUUCUGGAAGCUAUUUAUUUCAUAUUAUUUGUAGUUUGCCCGCCAUUGUUGACAAACUUCGUGUACUUUCCUGGUGGGAUUUUCCUUCCGAACCCCACCUCCUCUUUCCCUGUCCUUUCUAUUCUUUUGCGUUUUGGCGCCUGCCAUUUAUUUAUUAGGUGGAGGCUGACCAAUAAUUGAGUUGGGAGGAAGGACGAGAUUUUCUCCAUGCAUGAGACAUAACAUUGGUGCCACCGGCCAAACUAUAUUAGCUUCAGAAUAGAAAAUUGGGAUUAUAUUUAUAGAAUGGCAUAUGUGCCUGCUCUCCAUUUGAAUGCCCUGCAGUUGAGGGCAGUCUCUUCCUUUCGUAGCCAGUAAGGUGAACAUGUGGAUCAUCUUUGCGCCGCUGAUGCAAGAAACCAAGCCGUCUUCUUCUUGGCUCCAACAGUUUAGCUGCAGCAUUCAUUGAGAAUUUGAUUUCUUGGUCCCUGGUCAGUGGUUUGUUUGAAGACUUGCCGCGUUUACCUUCUUCUGCUACAUUGGCGGCACUGCUUUUAACAUUUAUUCAUUUUGGUUGGAGUAUGGUGACUUGAACCCAACAUAUUGAUAUUAUGCCAAGAAGAUAAUGAGACCGCAUCUUUGAGAUUAAUUGAAUAGGGAGAAUGUUCCCCUUUGGUACUCUUUCACUUUUGGGUUUUACAUUUGUGCAAACAUAAUGAUACUGCAACUUGUUUAGCAGAAUUCCGGACAAAAGAAGCCAAUACCAACCUGGCCUCCUAGGUAAAAAAUUUCAGGGUGGUUAUUUGCUGGAAAAGUUGAGCCAUAUUUUCAGGCCAUCCUUUUUCUUUUCUUCGCUAAAUAAUUUGUGAAGAAACUCCAUCUGUAAAUGCAAUCCUACUGAUUGGUCGUCGGCUCUUUGUAGAAUUUAGCAGGGAGUCCAUUCAGAGGAACUGGAAAUGGACUAUACUGUACUUUGCCGCCCUUGGAUCCCACUAGUUCCCAUCUGCGAAGGACAAUGAUAAAAUUAAAAUUAAGAGCUAAAUCCCAAAAUGUAACAUUAAAAAGAUUAACAAAAGGGUGCGGCAUUAAUUAAUAUAUACUACUAUUUCAUAUUGAUUUUUUUUUUUUUUUUUUUUUGUCGACGGAGUGGGGUGUCCGGGUCAAGUCCGUAAAGGCGGCCCGACUAAUUCCCACUCCGGCCCGGUCCAGCACCCCAACCAGACCUAGCACGUUAAAUACACGGCGAACUGAUGUUGCUGCGGAGGUUCGACCCCAGGACCUAACGGUCCCGAGGAGGAGGCGCCAACCACCAGCCCAUUCACGUGUUGAUUGAUAGCAUAGAUGAGCAUAUUUUUGGUACUGGAUGACGUGGCAACCUUGGUGAAGCAAAUUGGAGAACCACGAAAAGAUGAGUCUAGAGCCUAGACUCGCAAAAUGGAAAAAAAAAAAAAAACCCAUUACUUUUUUCAAGUUUGUAAAUUCAAAUACCUUAGAAAUUAGUACCAUAAAUAUUAUUUAAAAAAAAAAAGAAAUUCAUUCCACAAUUUAAAUGAAAACAAAAAUUGAUCCGUAUAUAUAUAUUUUUAAAGUGUACGAGGUCGCCAUCGUACCUAUGCUUGGUCACCAGAUGGUGGAUCAAAAUCAACAUCUCCAGUUUGGCGAGGUCAUUUCCGGGACAGGCGUGGGCUCCACUGCCAAAUGGCAUGAAGGUGUUGGGCUUGGGGGCCACCUGAAUCAAAGGCCACCGCAAAUACAAUAAACAAAGUACUGUAGAAGAACAAUAAUAAUAAUCUCGAAAAACGAGAACCAUCAGUAAAAUUUGGUACUCAUUAGAAAGAAGAAACAAAAGUCGUGUGAUAUCUCCAAAAUCGGAUACCUCAAAUCUUGCAGGAUCAAAACUUUUGGGGUCCACGAAAUGGUCGGGAUUGUGAUGAAUAUUUCUGAAUAGCGGCAUCACCUUCCACCCUUUUGGUAUGAGAAAUCCUGUUUCAAUAUGAAUCAUGCACGAGUUAAGAUUUACUAUACGUACAUCCAUAUACAUGAAAAAUUGAAAAUACUAGCACUAUAAUAUGAUCAUUGAGACGAGGAAAUAAAUCGAGAAGUUUGUAUAUAACUAUAUCUAUAUAUGUAUAUCACAUGGUAAAAAGGUGUGAGUUUGGAACCUUACCAUCAUAUUCUACGUCAGUCACAGCUUCCCUGAAGGUGAAUGAUAUGAUGCUAGCCAUCCUUAAGCUUUCUAAUAUUACCUGCCAUUCCAAUUAGGAUGGUGAAUUUUGCUUAUCAGAGGAUCAGUUCAUUAAUCUUUCUCUCGAAUUGUCACCAUGGAGGAUAAAGUAAUGGGGAGUAGUAAUUACCUUGUGUGUCAGCGGCAUAUUUCUCGUUUGAGCCCAUGUCAAGGGUUGCUUUCCUUCUUGAUUUAAGGUCCAGACAGCCCUUUGCUCUAUCUGCAGCAAGAUUUUGGACGAAAAAUGAGACCACUGGUAUAAAAAUAAUUGGUCCGCGGCUUUACUGUUUUAUUUUACUAGCUAGAGUACUUCUUUUCUUGCCUAGCUAGAAGAGAGGAUCAAAAUGGUCAGGUAUUAAUUCACCUUGACAGCUUCUAAAAGUUUCUGGUUAUCGUGGAGGUACUUGAGAAUCCAGGUUAGGACACUAGCGGUUGUGUCUUGAGCAGCAAACAGCACUCCUAUGAUGUUGUCAGCGAUUUGAUCCUCUGUCAAAGUUUGCCCUCUCUCAUCUUUGAAGUUGAGCAGGUAACCCAACAGAUCUUUAUCCAAUAGCUUUUUCUGCUUCCUCUCACUGAUUAUUUCCCUUAUGAUCUGAUUCAACCUUUUCCUUGCCUUGCCAUAAUUCACCGUGAAAAAGACAAGACGAGUCAGCAAGAAAGCUCCUUUCCAAUUAAGGCAGCAACCUGAUCUCGAAGAGCUUAUCACCACUUACCAAUAGAGAUUUAUGAUACGCUGUUCCUGGCAAGUUUGUGGGAAAAGAAUUGUACCCUUUAUCUACAAUGGAAUAGUUCUCCUUUAGUGCGUUCUUAUACUUGAUUUCUAGGUGACCGAAGAUAGCAAGGAUGCCGACCUCAAAAGAUAACUGCGCAAGUUAGAUCCGCGAAAUCGUCAUGUCAUGUGCGAGGAAAAUAAUGAAACAUAUGACAAAUUGGAGGUCCCGGAAACCAUAAGGUUAGAAGGACCCAUCAAGAAAAAACAAAUUUCUAAGAGACCCCGUAUGAAAAUAGUCAAAUACUCUAGCUAUGCUACAAUGAACAAGACAACAAAGUCGUCAGGGCACUCUCCAAAAAUACCUUCUUCAUCUCAUGGAAUGUGUUGGUGAUCAGACCGGACUCCCAAGUUUGCAUGCAAGAAAUGAUUAUAGCUUCAAUAUCCGGAACCAGCUUUCGAAGGGCCUCUGGAGAUAACGAGUUAUGAACCAGCUUCUUCAAGUGAGUGUGGUAGUUUCCUUCGUGGAAAAACAAUGCCCAGGGGCCGAUCAUCGUCUCUUUACUCCUGGGAUAGGUUGGUUUGAACAAGUGAGAAUGAGUAACCAACACGAACCGAGAGGCUUCAGGGCUAGCCAACAUGAUACAAGGGCAGCCAAGUAUCUUGGUCUUGAACAUAUCUCCAUAUCUGUGCGUAAGAACAAGAAAAUCAUCAGCUCGUGAUCUCUGCAGUUUCUGGCAGCGGGACAUAAAUUUAAAGGAGGAUGUGAAAAUCAACUAGUGUUAAUAGCUAGCUGAGUCAUGCAAACCGUUUUUGCUUCUGAGCAAAGAAAACAUUCGGAUCUUGGGAGUACAAUUGAAGAGUCUCUCCUAUGUAAGGCCAUCCCAUAGAGCCAGGAGGCAACUUUGCUCUUCCUUUGUUUGUUCUCUCCUUGUUCUUCGAUAGGCAAUAAUAAAGAGCAGUAGAGAAAAGGAUGAGGAUGUAUAUAAGCGUAGAAACAAUAUUAUCCAUACGAGUUCUUUCUCCCUUUGCUCUCCCUUCUGUUCCUCUCCCGUUCUCCAAGCUGCAGUAUUCUAUGACCAAGCUUUGUUAAUUGUGUUUUUCUAUCGGAGCUUCAGGGGGUGGAUAAUGGAUGUACUGAGCAACGAAGGUAGUUGCCAAAUGAUGGCUUAGUCAAUGAGAAGGAUAGCGAAGGUUUAUGGUUUAUAUAGAAAUUGAGGGGCAAGGAGCAGAGGGAAAAGGACGGAUAUGGAUCUGAAUUUAAAUAAAGGGGCUUUGCCAAAUUUGGGUGAAAAGUCCUCCUAGCUGUUAAUAUGGCACUGUUGCAUUCACAAAUCACCCAAUGAUAAAGAAAGUUUUGGACCACUUUUAAGUUUUACCCUGAGAUAAACAUGAGCUAACUCCGGAGUUCGGAUAGAAAAUUUGAGGAUGAAAAGCGAUCGAGAAAGGAAAGCAUAUUGCUACCUUGUUUUUGUUUUGUUUGCUUGUUUGUUUGUUUGCUUUUUUUUUUUUUUUUUGACCUCCUUCUCUAGCUCAACGGAUUUUACAUUUUUACUUCAGAUUCCUUGCAACUAUGGUAUGUUAUUGGAAUUUACAUAUAGAACCAUGUAAAUAGUAUCAUUUUAACAGAAAUUACACGGUAUUAUCCUUCAUCGAAAUUUUGCUAAAUACUCUCUUCCAGCAAUUAAAUGAUAAGCAAAUUUAGCUCACGAGUAACCGAAAAGUCUAGCACUGGCAGGAGCGGUAUUGCCAUUGUGGGGGAUGACUUCUACUUGCUGUACCAUUUACGCCAACGAAAAUGUUGUAACCUAGAGCGUGUUUGAAUUGAGUAAUAUUUAAAAUAAUUAUCAUAACACUUUUUAUAUUUGAUAUAUAUGAAAUAAAAUGUGAUUGAAAAUAUACAAAUAUAUGUUAAAAAAAACGUGUUUAUGAUACAAGCAAAAUAAUAUUUUGACAAAAAAAAAUUUGUAUCAAAACGCACCAAUGUUUGGAUGAAAGACUACUUGAAAAGUUUUUUGAAAUAACAUUCUAGCAUUUUUUAAUUAAAAAAUGUGACAUAAAAACUUAAGUAGACAACAAGUUAAAGAUGCAAGCAAAAAAAAUUUAUAGAUGCUAAGACGUAUGAUCAAUUUAAAUGUCUCUUUUCAAAUUAGAAUUAACUUUCCCAUUCCCAAAGGGAUAUGAAUAAGGUCAUUUGGAUUGUGAGUUUUUGAAAAUUUUGUAAAAAAAAAAAAAAAAAAUACUGUAAUGAUAUUAUAUAUGUGAGGUAAAAAAAAGGAAUUGAAAAAUGUGCAGACAAAAUUUUUCUGUGAAAACUCGCAACCCAAACAAGGUCGUUUAUAUUUUUCCUCUCAUUUAUAUAUCUUAUUUGAUUGAUGAUACCAACCGUGGUGAAUAAGCUAAUAAUGUAUACAGCAUUAAAUUGUUGAUGCGAAAAAUUACUUGAUUUGUGAAGUAAAUUUGAAGUCGUUUGGCAGUAAUUUGGGUACGCUGAUGGCAGAAGUGAUCCAAAGAUGAGUAUAAUUUUAAAUCAGAGCCAACACAUUUACAAGUUAAGAGUUUGAAUGCUCAAUCCUAACAUUAAUUUGUUGCUAAAACUAACGUUGAUGAAUAUAUGGGGUUUACGCCAAAUUGUAGAAUUCGGAGAGGAGUAAAAUGUGAGGUUCCAGCUGAUGGGUAUUUUGUCUUUGGCCCCACAUUCUCAAUGCUUCAGAGUCGGACGACUGGAUUUGGUUGAUACUUAUAUGAUAUGGGGAAAUUAAGUUGCGUCUUCGAUAAGUUGAUUUGAAGUUUCAAUGAAACGGUUUAGACCCAAACUGCCUCAAUUUCACCAUGUCUGUCCCAAGUAAUAAAGGUCUGAUUUUCACCAAUUAAGCAUAUUUUGCUCAAAACAAAUGCUUGACAAGCUGUGACCAAAAGAAGUUAGGGGCUAACAUCACGAAAAAAUAGGUUUUACUAAAGGCUUAUUAUGAACUUAUUUAGUUAGAAAAAUAGUUAACAUGACUAUAGUUAAACAAUGAAUGGAGCUUCCUAGCAAAUGAAUAACCAGUCGAGCUUUAAGCAAAAUCGUAGAUUAGCUGUAAUACUUGUUUGAAAUGUGAUAAAUGUAAAAUAAAAAUGAUAAUUAAAUACAAAGUGAAAUAUUUUUGCAAAAAAAAAAAUACAAUACAAUCGAGGUCUAAACUUAUUGUCUGUGAGAGUUUUAGUGAUAAUAGAAGAAAUUGUAAAUAUAAGGUUUUGGAUUUAAAACUUCUUACUAGAAAAAAUACUUACAGUAACUGAAACAUUCAGUUAAACUGAUUGUUAUUAGGUUUAAAUUAAUUAUGAAGAUAGAUUGAGAAUGGCACGCGUACUUCAAACUAUAUCAAUAAAACCAUGAUAUGGGUAAGCUGAAUUAAUGUUAAGCCUCUAAAAAUAAGUGGUCUCUGGAAAUAAUUCCUGUAACACUUUUAGUGAUGUGAUGUAUGUGAGAUCAAAAGGUGGUUGGAAAUAUAAAAAGAUAGAUUGAAAAAUGUGUUUAUGAUGCAAUCGAAAUAUUAUAUGGGAUAAUUUGCUACCCAAUUAUAAUUGAUAAUUUAUAUCUCGUGAAAUUUAGAUUCUUGCAUUUUCUACCUCUGUCUUGUUAACAAAAAUAAAGGGAUAAUAUCAGAUACCUCCCCAAAUGGUUUCUUAUAAUAUCAUACAGUACCUCUUAGGUUUUGGAUUGACAUUUCUUAUAACAUUUUAACCCCUUUUGGGGGAAAUGCAAGAAAGUUAAAUUUUUUGUUUCAAUACUACCCUUAUAUUAUCCUACUUAUGAAGCUUACAACAACAAUAAAAAAUAAAAUAAGGUUAAAAAAAAGAUGAAAAUGUGAGAGGUUAUAAAUGCAAUAAUGAGUAAUUUUGUACACAUACAACAACUAUUGCUUAUAUAAUGCACAAUAUUUAACAAAAAAAAGCGAUAUUCCUAGAUAUAUAUUUGGUCAUUAGAUCAAUUUUUUUUAAAAAAAAUUUUUGACUUACUUAUAAAGUUUUUUUCUAUAAGUAGAAUUUGUAUUACGAAUCCUAUGCAUAUAGAGAUUAUUUUACUUUUUAGCACAACUCAAACUAUAUCAUGUAUUUUGACAUAUUUUCAAAAAAAAAAUUUAUUGACUUCCUUAUAACUAUCCACAAAAUUUUUAAAGGUGUUAAUUACUCACCAAAUCCUCCUAAGUAGCUAACUUUGACUAGAUUUAAUUUAUCUGAGUCAUUUGCGGUCCUCCCACAAUUUUGAUAUAGAUAAAUAUGGACUAUUAUUAGAUAACAAUUUGCAACCUACAAAUUUUUGUUUAAAAUUUUAUUUUAUUUGGCUUUUUGGCUAAAUAGUUAUUAAGGACAAGGGUAAUAUUGUCAAUUUAUGACCUUUGAUAAGAAUAUUUAGUCUUGUCAAGUUCACAGAGAAGGUAUGUGAGAUUUUAAAAAUCUCAAGAGAACUGAGUGAUAUUAUGAAAAACCUUAGAUGAUGUUUUUGAAAUUAUCUCAAAAAUAAAACUACAGCAAAAGGUGAACAUCAGGAAACGUGUUUGCUGUAUUUUAAAAAAUAAAAUAAAAUUUUUGUUCUACCCAAUGAGAAUGAUUCAAUUUUACUAAUGAAAUAUGGAGUUAGCAUGACAUAUAUAAUUGAAUAGUGAGUUUCUAAUUUAAUCUUGUACUAUAAUUUUGGAGGGAAAAAAUAUCAAGUUUGAUAAAAUACUAGAUGAAACUUGAUAAUAUUGUGAACAUUUAAUAUCUUUCCCACCGGGUCAGGUAAUGGUGAUUGGCAAUGGCGAUGCAAUAUCAUCAAAUAUGCCUCCCUCAUUUCUUGAAUCGAUCAUAGAACUCGUCUUUUAGCAAAUGAGGAAGGGAUCCUCCGGUUAUUCUGGAUUCCCGUAAAAAUUAUCAAGUCGAAGCGGGCAAUUAACCAGAAAUUUUCUUGCGCCUAUUGAAUUGUAGCAAUAUCUUUCCGCAAAACCUUUUGCACUUUCAUUCUAAGAACCGGUGGACGUAUAAAUAUAUACACUGACAGCAUAUAUGUUAUCAUUUUAAAAUUAAAAUUAUGUGUUAUAAAUCUAUCAAUAUUAAUGUACACUACAAAAUUAAUCCAAUUUUCAAAAGGCUCUAUGUUUUGAAUAAGCUCCUUAAUUGCAUGUGGUAUUAUACACGCAUAUUAAUAACUAUGACUGUCUCUCGCAUUUAUAUAUUUUUCUUAAAAUUUAACAAUUGAACUACAUAUUAUUGGGCAAGACAACAGUCUAGAGUGUCGCAACGCCUUUAAUGACGUAUCAGAAAGACGGCGCUAUAGCGUGGUCAUUCACGUGGGAGUGAUGGGGACCAGAUUAGGGGUGUGCAUUCGGUGCAAAUUCGGUAAUUCGGUGCACUGAAUUCGGUGAAUUCGGUUAUUCUACCUGUAAAAAUUUAAACCGUUUUCAAUUCCAAAUUGGGCAUAACCGAAUUCAUUCCGCAACCGAUUUCAAAUUUGAAAACGGUAAUGAAUUCGGUUAAACCGAAUUCAUCUAUGAUUUAUAAAUUAUUACUGAUUUGAUCCCUAAAUUUAUUCAUAAUUGAACACAUUACUUAUGUUCUAAUCAUUUUGUGGUUUAAUUGGCAUUUAUUUGAUCACUUUUACCUAGAAUUCUUAGUCUAUGAUUUAAGAAACACAUAAAAAGUGAUUAAUUUAAAUUAGAAUAAACCUUAGACUAUACAAUGAUUGGUGAUAAUUUAUGAAUUUAUAAUUUACAAUGAUUAAUUAUAAGCAAUAUUAGUUAGUAGUUACAAUGAAUUUAUAAUUUACACUGAUUAAUAAUAAGUAAUAUUAGUUACAAACUUACAAAUUACAAUGAUUAGUGAUAAGUUAUAUUAGUUACAAACUUAUAAUUUAUUUCAAAUCAAAAUAAAAACUUAUUUACUUACACAUGUUAUUGUGAAAGUCAAUACACUAAUACAUUGAUUUGUAAUUCACAUACAUUCACUUACAGUCUUACACUGCUUAGUUGUCUUGUCUAUACUUAAAGCCUUAAGAUUAGUAAAUAGAUAAUAUGAAUUUUAACUUAUUUGAUAACUUAUGCGUAAAAUCAUUAGUCUAUGAUUUAAGGAACACAUAAAAAGUGAUUAAUUUAAACUAGAAUAAACCUUAGACUGUACAACGAUUAGUGAUAAUUUAUGAAUUUAUAAUUUACAAUGAUUAAUAAUAAGUAAUAUUAGUUACAAACUUACAAAUUACAAUGAGUAGUGAUAAGUUAUAUUACUUACAAACUUAUAAUUUAUUUCAAAUCAAAAUAAAACUUAUUUACUUACAUAUAUUAUUGUGAAAGUCAAUACACUAGUACAUUGAUUUGCAAUUCAUAUGCAUUCACUUACAUUGCUAACUACUUAGUUGUCUUAUCUAUACUUAAAGUCUUAAGAAUUAAGAUUAGUGAAUAGAUAAUAUGAAUUUUUAUGUUAAAUAUGUAGAGUACACUAAUACUUGCAAGUUAGAGAUUACGCAUUCAAAUAUUCAAUAAUUCAAACAUGAAUGAUGUAUCAAAUUACCAAUAUCUAAAUUUAAUUACUAAUUAUGUUUAUUGUUUAAUAUUUAGUAUUAUACAUAUAUGUGUUAAUUAUUAUCUAAUUCUAGUCAUGUUACUCAUGUAUAAAAUAAUAAGUAUUAUAGUUAUCUUAUAUUGUUAUGUAUUACUAUAUAUUGGUAUUAUUAUAGUCAUAUAACAAUUAACAAAUACUAAAAUAAUAUAUUGUACAUUAUUAUAUAUUAUUAUUAUUAUAAGUACAUGAUAUGAUGAUAAAUUGAUAAUACCAUAUACUAAUUAUUAUUAAUAGCAUUUACCUAUAUAAUAUAAUAAAGUAUUAGUAGUAUAUACUAAUACUAAAUAACAUUUAUCUAUAUAUUAUAUAAUUUUAUAUACCAAUUUGGUAAUUCGAAUGCGGUAAUGCGGUACCCGAUUUCAAUUACCGAAUUUGAAUGCGAAAUCGGUUAUUACCUAAUUCAUAAUCUCAUUACCUAUUUCAUACCAUAUUAGAAUUCGGUGAAUUUGGUACGUACCGAAUUUGUACCAAAUUAUCAAAUACCCGAUUUCAAAUUACCAAAUUAAAUUUGAAAUCGGUUAUGAAUUCGGUAAAAACCGAAUUUGCUCACCCCUAGACCAGAUGGCAUCGGCGGUGUAGCAGUAGAGCCCGUAGGAUCUCAUACGUUCUAGAUCAGAUGGCGAUUACGUGACGUCCUAACUCGUAACUCCCCAGGGACACGAACCUUCGGGAGAAUGGGACCGGAGCGGAGAAGCUCUAAUAAGCGAGGAGUGGUAAUGCGAAGUCCGCUUCAGCCUUCAGGUAUCAGGUGGUAGGUAGUCGCAAUCAGAGAAAGCUGAACACGACACGUGUUGAAAUCUCUGUGUUUGAUUGCCGCCUCACCAGAAUGCACUGGUACUAUCGAUCCUGUGCGGGCGGGUCUUGACUAGUACAUUUAUAAAUUUUAAGGCACAGGCGUGAUGGCACAGGAGUCUUCUGUUUUGGCAAGUCGUCGGCUCCUCGUUUCACUAUUCUUGCCCUGUUCGAAGGGCGCCAAAACAUCCCUCUGCCUGCAUUUGUCUAAAUCUUUUUGCUACUUCAAGUAGUUUUUUUCUUUUUCUUUUUCUUUUCUGGUCGGCUUUCUCUUUUCUCUUUCUUUCUUCCACUUUUGGGUCGAUGUCGGUGUUUCAGGUAAAUAAAGAGAGAUUUUCUGAUUGUGUUUUUUUACGCAAAUGACAGAAUAUCAUAACAAGUACAGGAUUAAAUUAUCAAAUCAGGAUGACGCUGGAUUGUGUUAAAUGUAGUAUCUGUGGAAGAUCACACAAUUAUUUGUUUAGGCAUAAAAUGCAUUACUUACAAUCAAUCUACGAUAUAUAUAAUUUAAUAACAUUAUAAUUGGGCUUGUUCUCAGUUGUUCUAGAUUUUGCAAAAUUGAUUAUCAAAAGUGAUUAUAGAAUAUAAUCAGAAUCAGCAAAUUCUAGUUUGUUUGGAUACAGUAGUAUUAUUUGAAAUAAUUACUGUAUCACUUUUUGAUCACUUUUUGUGAUAUGAUAUAUGUGAGAUCAAAAAGUGAUUUGGAAUAUAAAAAGGUGGAUUGGAAAAUAUGUUUAUGAUGCAAACAAAAUAUUAUUUGACAUAAUUUGCUAUCCAAACACUUAUUCUGUUUUUUGAAUGAUUAUACGAAUGCUAACUUUUUUGGCUGUUAAAAAUCUGUAAUCUGAAUAUAAGAGCAAAUGAGAACAUCUCAAUUACUAAUUAUUCAUAACCAAAAUCUAUAUUUAGUUAAAAUAAUCAACCGAGAACAAGCUUAGAGAGAAUAAUCAAAAUCAAUAAAAGUUACUCUUUGGUUGAUUAUGAAUUACAAGGCCUUACCUUGUUUGGAUUGCAGUUUUCCGUCGGAAAAUUACGUCGUUUUCCGUGAUCACAUUUCCCUAUUACCUUUUUUCCUCACAUACAUCAAAUCGCUACAGUAAUUUUUCCAUGAAAAAUCAUGAGAAAUGCAAUCCAAACACAAGUUUUUCUAGUUAUUAAAAAGCUAUAAUCUGAACAACAAAAGUAAAAGAGAUGUGGGGUUGCACCUUACAAGCUGACUUGCUAAUAAAUGAAUUCACCACUGCCGUUGGCUUUUUCAUGGGAUGUUUGUGGGGUUGCAGGCCAUCAGAUGCAGUGCCUUAGAAACCGCUAACGUACGAAGGCAAAUAAAAUCUUUCGCCCAUGAUUAGAAGCGGUAUCGCAUCUAAAACUCAGUUUUACGGUGGUAUUUGUGAAUGACUGUUCCUACAUGAGAUAAGAAUUACAUGUUUCAGUUUUAAUGCAAUUGAGAAAGUGUAACGAAAAAAAAAAGAACCAAAAUCAACCUGGCGCCUCUAGGAAAUAUUUUGUAGAUUCUUUUCUUUAUAACUCAACAACUGAAACUGAAGGGGUAGUUGAAUGACAGUGCAUUGUACUUAUGGCCGUAGAGUUUUGUCAGUCCAUCACCGUGCACUGGAUCUCAACUCAAGGAUGUUCAGCUUUAAAGGUUGCUGAUUUUUGCUGGUGCCCCUCCCAAAAAUUCGCAAGCUUUAGGUUUUCUUUUCUAUUCACAUAUGAUUGGAUUUUUGACACAAAGAUUUGCAGGAAAGUACCACAUGUUGUAAAUUUAACAAUGUUCAAGACGAUAGGACAUUAACAUUCACUGAAGAAUAACAUUUCUGGGUCGUAUUGCUUUUCUGAAAUUAUUGUCAUUGUUACUAGGUGAUAUUAUUGGCUCUCUCUCCCACUACGUGAACUAAAAAGUCUAAUAACACCCAACACUAGUAUCAAAGUUCGAUGUACAACGCCGUCUUCCAAUAAGUUAUUAGGUGACAUUGGUUCUCUCUCGCACUCCAUGAACUAGAGAGUUCAACAACACCCAACACUACUAUAAACGUUUGGUUACAACUAGGGCUGCAAACGAGCCGAGUCGAGUCGAGUUUUGAGCUAAUCGAGCCGAGUCUCGACUAAAUUUUACUAAACUCGAGCUCGACGAGCCGGCAAUUUUCAAGCUCGAGCUCGACUCGAAUCAAGUCGAGCCGAGCUCGAGUCGAGCUCGAAAAAAAUAAAAAAAUAAUUAUUUUAUUUUUUAAAAAAUAAAUAAAAUAAUAUUUUUUUCUUAAUAAAUAAUAAAAUAUUAAGGAUAUAUACGUAAUUUUACUAUGAAAAUAAAAAAUAAAAAAAAAUAUAUAUAAUAUACGUAAUUUUAUUAUUAAAUAAUAUAUAUAUAUAUAUAUAUAUAUAUACUCAAGCUCGUGAGCCGGCUCGCGAGCUAACGAGCUUAAUAUUCUGAGCUCGAGUUUGGCUCGAGCUCGACUCGAGUUUGACUCGAGCCGUUCGCGAGCGGCUCGAUUCGUUUGCAGCCCUAGUUACAACACCUUCUUCCAAUAAAUACUCGGAUGGAAAAUUGAUGAUUUUAUCCAACCUAGGACUUGAUGUGUGAGUUGGAGGGAGGGGGGAUUGUUGAAUUUAUUUCCCAUCAAUUCCAGGUAGUAACAAUGUGCUACUUAUUAAUAAGUACGAGGGAAAGUCUGUUUGGAAAGUCAUUUUCCGUCAAAAAAUUGCUACGUUUUCCGUGAAUACAUUUCUCUAUCACUUUUUUACCUCACAUACAUCAAAUCGCUACAGUAAUUUUUUUACAAAAAAUCCAGAAAAAUGCAAUCCAAACACAACCAAUUAAUAGUUCUUUGAGCCAUUUUUUUACAGUGAGAAAACUUAAUAGCACCCAAUAGUUGUCCAAAAUUUUACUAACAUCAAGUUGUCUAAAAAAUCUUACUAACAUCACGAACCGACUGAUGGUGGUGAUACAUUUUUUUGCACUUCUACUUUACAAGUUAACAAGAGGUUCUUUUGUUUAUCCCACUCAGAAUUCUUCUAACGAUUUCUUCUUUCUUGUUUCAAAGUUGGUAUCACUAAUGUGUAGAGGUGAUAUAUGACAGCAUUUUCAUCACAAAUUUGAACUAAUUUUAAAUUUUGAUAUAAUAAAUCAAUGUAAUAAUACUCCAAAUAUGAAAGAUAGAACUCGAGUUGAAGCCUGCAUUGGAGAUUGAAACCAUGAAAGCUCGACUUGGAAUGUCCAUCCAUAUGGAGCCAAGCUUGAAGAAAACUAGAAGUCUAUAAUAUGUAUGCUCAGUUCAGGCAACAAACUCAGCCAACAUUCUUUUUUCUAUCAGGUUACAAUUUUCGGCAAACAUCCUCCAUUUAUAUUUAUUUCUUUCCCUCGUAUAAGUUUCAUAGACCAUAAUGUUACGCAUGUCAACAGUAAGAUCCCAAUUUAAACCUCCCUUAAGGUAUGAAUUUGGCAUCUUCAUUUUGGGUACACAUUUCGCAAUUCUCUUGCAAGUUUCACUUGGAAUAAUACCACAUGUUUUUUCUCCAUUAGUCAGAGGAAAAAAAAAAAGAAAAAAAGAUGUCGGAUCUCCAUCAGCAUCUUCUAUUCUUUAUACAAUCAUGCAUGGACAAGAAAGUUUUCCGAUGAGCACAUACAACUUGUAACCAUGUGGCUACUUCAGUCCCAACGAUCGAGGGUCUUACUCAUGUCAUUCAACCCCAGUGUCUUGUAAGACAUAGGAGAUGGAAAAGAAACAGGAAAAAUGUAAAAGGUCCAGAUAAGGUCAACCAACUUAUCACUAACUUUAUAAGCAUCAAAUUGAUAUAGUCCAACUGGGCUCUUGUGAUGGGAACACCUGCAUAACGAGUCCUUCUGGUGGAAAAUUCUCAACUAUCUCGCGGUGACGAGGCAUAUCCAAAAUCUGUUGUCAUUAUUGUCUCGCUUGAACUGCUUUGUUGCUUGAUGGAUAUGACCACUAAAAGAAAACAAAAAUGUACACGUAACUUGCUUCCCAAUAUUCUGCAAUGCAACUUUUCAAAGAAAAACUGAAAAAGUUUAGUCCAUCAUAGAGAAGAUGAUGCCCACUUUGUAGUUCUUGGCACUAUAGCCACUGUCAAUUCUAGGCGACUGUGUUCUUCACGUUGCUGCGUUGCACCAAUCUUCCACGGUUUUCCGAAUCUUGUUUUCGUUUUCUCUUGCUUGCAGUUAUAUGUACUUUUCAUGUUUAUUUAUUUAUAAAAAAUCAUAAUUUCAUUCAUGAGAUCAGCAAUAAUGGUAGAAAACACAUCAUCAGACAUGUUACAAAAACAACAACAAAAUUUCUAUGACUUACAUACACACCAGAUUUGAGAAAAUAACGAAUAUUAAUUACAUAAUGAAUCUCCAAUCUAUUUCAGAUGAUAUCAAUCUCUUUGAACCCAAUAGAGAAACAUCUGUGCAUGUCUUCUCUUACUUGAUUUACCGUUUAACUGUUUCAAAUCCAUACAUCAAGUUGAGAUCUCAGAAAUUUCAAAUUUAGUAAACAACUUUGAAAGAUUGAAACUUGACAAAGAAAAAAAAAACGUAAACUACAAGUAAAUUCUCGCUAAAAAUCCUAAAAGAGAAGAUUCUCUCACUUUAAAAAAAUGACCCUUAAAAAACUCUAGGAGUAAGAAGUCUCUUAUUAAGAAACCCUAAAUACCGGAAACUCUCAUUAGAAAAACUUUAGCAGAUUCUCUCACUAGAAGGUCCUAGAAAAGUAUACGAGAAAUCUUAGGAGAGAAGGAUUUGGUGCUUUAGAAUAUUGAAUGGCUAGAAAGUCAUGAAUUCUGCUUUUGUGGGAGCAACACUCUUCAUGUUCUUAAGGUGUCGGGAUUUUAUCGUCCGUUUCGAAAUUCAGUUUCGGGGUUUUAUCUGUUAUCCUUAUCCAAAAUGAGCAAUUGAAUGUCAAUUUGUUGGUAGGAAGCUACGUGUGCACAUUUUUUACGGUUAAAAAAAAAAAAAAAAAAAAGGGAAAAUCCUAUUCUGAUCCACAAUUUAUAAAAUAGAAAUAAAUUAAAUGAUAUAUAGUUCAACUCUCCUUGAUUUUUAGACAUCUCAUAUUUGCAUCUAUCUAUCGCAUAGGCAUAUCAUCUUUUAAAAUCAUUUUUCCUAAGUAGACUCUAAAAGCAAGCGUGACACAAAGUUAAAAACUAGUGAUGCAACAUGAAUAAUGAUAUUUCUAUAUAUACCACAUCACAUCUAUUUAGUUGCCACCAAAAUUCUUUUUUAACACAAAAUGUACCAAGUAAAUUGAACAAGUGUUCGUGGGCAAAGUCGCAGCAAUGAUGAUCCGGAAUGUUUUCCCACGAAACAAAAGUACAGCGCUCGAAAAAGGUGGUGUUGCUCCCAGUUCCAGAUACCCAGAAUUGUACUCGUAACCCUAUCGGCCUAUAUUAGCCAAGCAAAAGUGGAGUGAGUAUAAAAUAAAAUAAAAUAAACUUUGAGACUCCUUAGGAUUCCCGAAAAUACGGCAGACAGUUUGGGGCUCUGACUCCCUCCAAUCAUGCUGUACACCCUGCAGCUUUUUUUGAGGCUUUGGCAAUCAUUGAGAUGGACAACGUUUGUGAAGCAAAAAAUGUCCAUUACGUAGACAAAUUCAUCGGGACAUCCAUUCUAGAAAAGAUUUAGACAAAAAAGAAUCCAGUUGGAAACGUACAAACACUAAACUCUUUUGUCUAGCAAGAAGCCGACGACGUUAGAAGUCAUGCAAAUCAAUUUUGAUUGCACUGAACCACUCAGCUUAGAUUCCUCUGCGGAUUAAGAUUCUUCUUUGGAAAGUAGAUUAGUAGAGGUUCGAACUCUACCUCUACAAUGAAAAAAAUUCAUUCAAAGUAGGUGUCAAAACACCCUUUUUAUCUAAUAGGUUAGUCCCUUAUGCACCGUGUUUUUAGCCUCCUCUCUUCCCUGGAUUAGGAUUAGAUUAUUAAGUUACAAAAAUGUUAUCAGUACCGUAAAAAAAAAAGAACUUUAAUUGCGCUGCACCAACGUAAGGUAGCCAGCAAUUUGGAUUAAAGAAUUCUAAUUUGGCUUCGUAACGUCUCAUUUCCUAUUCAUGUCAAUGAAUUACAGCAGCCCCCUUUUUUUUAAAAAAAAAAAAAAAAAAAUAAGCUGCUUCUGCUCAAGAAGUGUAAACAUGGAGUAUCGUAACCAAAAAUAGUAUGUGCAAGUAUAUCAUGUGGUGUACGUGUACUGUAUUUGUCCAUAAAUGGAUUUGCAAUUUAAGGACAAGUCCACAGUGAAAUUCAAAUACAGGCUUAAACAUUUAAGAAUUGGUAUAUAGUAGUAAUUCUUUUCAACCUUUGAAUGUGAUACAUAUAUAUAUAUAUAGACACACACACACAUAACCUUUAUUCACAUUUGCAAAAUUCCUUUUACCACCACACACCAGAUGUGUGUAUCUAUUUGUUGGUAUUAAGAAAAAAAAAGUCACAAUUAUAUUAUCCACGUGAGAAAAUUUCAACUAAAAUUUUGAGCUCUUUUUUUUUUCCCUUUUAAGGAGGGGGAGAAUUGAGUUUAAGAAGCUGGUAAUGAAACUAGAAAUCGGAAUCCAGGGCCUCUGAGUGUUAGUAACUUAACCUCAACUGCAAGAGCUGGAAAUGCAUAAUGUAUCCAUUUCCGGGAAGAAAAAGGCUGCGAGUCUCUAAAUUUUGGUAGCCCUUUUGGGGCUGAAAAGGAAAAGUUUGUCGGCCGUCGACGAAUUGUACGCACAACCGUUUAUCGAACUCGCAGUUCAGCAAUUAAUGUCAUUUUAUGCAUGUACUCCUCGUACGGACUGCUACCAUCCUGACAGCUAGCUGUUACUCUAAACCAGCUUCAUAUUAUAGUUUCAUUUAAUAUAACCCCUGGUCGGCGGGUACACAUAUUUCUGGUAGAUUCAGGAUCAUAUUCUGUUUAAAUGAAGCUUCAACAUUUUCAUUAAAUCUGGCCUCUUCUUGUACAUAAAUUAUAAAGUGAGGUACUCCAGCUUCCAUUGUAAGAGCAACCCUGCUUUGCGACAAUAAAUAGUCGACAUGUUCUAUCAAACUAAUGAAAAAGACUACAAAUAGUAGUGUCUCGGCUACUACUCCGCUUGUUUCUCCAACUAAGAAUAAACAUGACAUAUAUCAUCAUCAGUCAAAUACACUGAAUUGCUAUAUUAAAAUGUGGAGACUAAGCAGCAGCCCAAUACGAAAUAGCUGCUGGAGAUCUUAAUAUCUUAAACAUACUUGCCUCUAUAUUUUGGCUUUGAUUCCUUGCUGAAUUUUGUGCCCCCUGCAGCAUUAAGCUGCAUGUCAAGCGGACUAAAGACGGCUGAAUGAAGAUUGCCAUCUUCCAACCACUUGAGAUGGUUUUCCCUGAACUCCAAAUGUUUGAUUCUAGCUGCCUCUGCAAUGUCAUCUGUAUAUGGCGCAAUCUUCACCAUGGUUAACAACACACGACUGUACCUGAAGCUUAGGAUCUGCUCACAGCUUGCAACCAUUUUCAAACAUGGGUGCUCAGGAAAACUGGUAUCAAUUGUGUCUUCCUCUCUCAGUACAGGAUAGAAGUACACAAGCCUUCCACCCAUUACAAGCAUCCUAGCAGCAAGGUCAAGCAAGUCGUGUACACACUCCACUAAGCUGUAAGGAGCAGUGGAAGGUAUGUGGUCAUUCCUUUUGUCAUCAGGAACUGUAUACGGGCCCACUACCCCUUUCAAAAGCUUUCUGCCACCAGAUUUACGGCCCCCAGCACGAACUCCAUAAGGAGGAUCACAUAUUAUACAAUCAAACACCUAAAAGAAGCACAACGAAAUUCAUAAACCAUGCAGGCAAAGAACAUGCCCAAACACAAUCACGGGCAUACAAGUCUAACGAAUGAAAAAUGCUGUGCAUAAACGUACAGGCAGGAGCUUCUUUGUUUUUUUCUUUUUUAAUGCCAAACUCCAAGGCGACCAGCUACUAGGUUCUAUUACUAGGACCACCCUACUACACAGGGAAACCCUAUUCCAUUUAGCUCAGACAUAGGAUAUAAUACAAUUCCAUUGUCCCUGCCAAAUAAAGCUAUCUUACUUCUUGUAUUCAUAAAUCUUGACUAAAAGCAAGAGAAUGCAUUCACAAGUUAAUACAACUCCUCUGCUUCAAAAUAGCAGUGGAUGGCAGAUAUUUUAACUCUACAUCUGAGACUUUACCACCAAGAGAAAAAUGUUUUGUUCAUUGUCUGCUAUCCAGGUAAUGAUGGAAGAGAAUUUAGUCUUCUCUAUAAUGCUGGAGGGAUAGAAGGACAUGAGAAGUUUAGCCAUGACAAAGACUACCAGCCUUAGCAUGUUCUUAGGACUUGUGGGUCAAGAGGAAAACAAAAGAUUUUAAGGAUAAAAUGUCACAUGAAAGUCCUUGCUUAAUCUAUUCCAGGAGUAAGCAGUUCAUCCCACACAGUUAUUGAUAUGCUGGUGGACUACAGUGGUACAUUUUAAGCUAAUCCUUGUACCAGAUUUGUUUCAAGCUUUUUUUAACUGGAGAAGGGGGAAAAACUGUCAUUUAUUGUCCUUGACCAGGAUUACUUACCUCCUUUAGUCCAGGACGCCAAGGCGGGAGGUUGUUGUCUGCCCUCAACAGAGAAAUUGGCAUGGGCAAUCCAUACUGCCACGAAAGCCAUAUAGAUGAGCACUACUUUGUAAGUAUUCACAAAAAAAAUGUUGAAGUAUAAAGUUUCACUGCAUAAAACAAGAUAAAAAUAAUAAUCAUAAUAAUAGAAAGUCAAUUUCCGUAUCUUAACCUGUUUGAAAUUGGUCCAGACAUUACAAUCAGGACCACGACCAUCACGAACUACGCGAAUAUCGAUAUCUGCACCCUGAGAAAUUCACAUUAAUGGCACGCAAAAGCAAAAGAAAUCUUAAUGUUUUCAACCAAAUGUAAGGUAUCCAACCAGAAAUGUUAUGUGAAACAAAGCCUAGUAACAGAAGUUUUAGUGCACAUAAAAUCACACACCAUUGUCAUUGCUCCAAAAUGAGCUGCAGCAAUCAGGAUGCUUCCAGUACCAACAAAAGGAUCAUAGACAAGUUUCCCAGUUUUGGCCUGUGCUUGAUUGGCCAUCAGGAAAGCCAUCUCUGCAUCCAUGGCUGUGGGACCAAGGUAAGUGCGGCUUUUUAAUUGGUAAGUUGGCAGAAGCUUCCUAUCUGCAGCCCCAAUCUCUCGACCAAAAAAAAUUCUUCUGCAGACAAUGGGAGGAAGCCCAUUGUUAGAUCCGUAAUUAUCAGUUUCCAUGAGCCAGAACUUGUGAUCAGGGUGGCUUAGAUUGACCUGGCCCUGUAAGAACCAAGGUCACUUAGCAUCUGCUAACAACAGGAACUAUCACCAAAAAAAAAAAAAGAGGAACAAAGUUGGCAACUUCUAUGAACAAUGAUCCUUUCACCACAUUAAGAGGGACUAUGCAAAGAUCUGUACGUAUGUCCAAAGAUGACAGUUACCUUUACAGGUCUCACAAUUACCACCAUAGCUUAAUGCAGAAAAAGAAACACAAAAGUAAUGCUAGACCAAGAAAAUUUUAUGUACUUGCUGGUACCCACUAUCAUACCCUUCUUUCCCAAAACAUUAGAGAAACAAGAUAGGAAAGUUAUCAGUACAUCGAGAUUCUUAAAGGCAAAACAGAGCAAUUUAUCCAAGAUUGGUGUAUCAACGAAACAGAAGAGAAAGUAAGACCAUGGAGCAGAUGAAACACCUGAAACUCAAUUUCAGACACAAGACUGCAUGAGACUUUUCCUUUUAACCUGAAACUGCAAUAGUCAAAAAGUAGCACCCAGCACCACUUUGCAAGAUAUUAGAACACCUACCCACUUUUAAAUACUAAAAUUUACUUUGCAAUUCCAAUCAAUCAGGAAUACACUUUGUGAAACCAAAAUUCCUAAAAUAACUUUGACAUCAUACUCAUGAUGGGGGGAAAUGCAUUAUGUUGUGCCCCUAAUAAUGAGACAAUCAGAAAGGGAUACACAGAUACAGCUUCACAACUGUUUGGCAUAUGGGGAGGCAACCUUGCGGACUUAUCAAUGUUGGAGAUUUUAUAAUGUCUGAGUUCCUUUCACAUUGUUCUUACAAGUUACGAUUUUCAGACAAGGAAGGCAAAAAGGAAAAAGGAAUUUUAAGAAAACAAAAAAGAUAUCAUAAAUAGCUAUAAUCUUAUCUUCCAACAGGAAGCAUGCAGAAGUAAGGCUAGUUCAGAGAACCAAAAAAAAUUCGUAGCAUAGUCUACCAUCUAUCAAAAUAAUCCAAAUUAAAAGCCAUGCAAGGUAUCAUCUGACAUGAACAACAGAUAAUCUAAGCAACAGAAAAAGGAGAGGAUCAGAUCUUUAUACAAAUAGAAAAAGGAGAUAACCAAACCUUAAAUGGAAUGUAAGAGAGCUGUUGAAUACGAUCAUUCUGCUCUUGAAAGCUAACAACUUUCCCAAAACUGUCCACAGUAAUCUUGAAUGUGCUUCCAGAUGUAAGGUAUGGCAACUUCUGCUCAUCUGGACAACUUUUUAUAGCCUCUUCCAGCUCCUCAAAGCUACUUCCUUCACCCCAGAGCUCAUAAAUCCCUUUUACAAGAAUGCCUAAACAUCCAAGACUUCAAUUCGUCAUAUACUCAUUCACGCUUCAAGGUGACUAUUGACAAUAAGGAAAUAAUUGUGUUGAAUCAGAGGAAAAUCUAAAUUGAGCUCCAACCAAAAGGAAAAAUGGAUAUUUAUGGAAAAUUCUGAUCUGAGUAAAUGUCUAGUUAAACAAUCCCAAGAUAUAACAUGAUUUUCAACUUCCUUAACAAUCACGGUUAACUCCUUCAAAUGGAGUAAAUAUUCUCUGCUUUUACGCAAGAAAUGAGAAGCAUGCAAGGAUACGGAUAUUAAAUUGCAUAUAUGACAAGAAUGAUGAGGCGCAUAUAACAAUCCAGAACAAAGAUUAUCAACGAAUUAGCUGUAGGGGCUGUUGUCAACUAGCAUAUUAACAUUUGUCUGGACACCGUGCUUCUCUACAACCUAAAUGAAGAUCUAUAAAAACUCGGCAGUACCCAUAACCAAUUGAAAAGAAAAAUUUUAGUCUAAUUUUCUUUAGCUAUAAAACUUACUCUUCUUCUUAAAAGCAAGCUAACAAAAACAUACCCUCCACUGCAAACAACAUAUUAUGAGGAGAAUAUAUUCAAGCGCAACAGCUAUUACAGCCACUUCAGUUUAAGCAGCAAGAUUCAGUAUUCUUUUCCCCUUCUACUACGAGAAGGCCCCAAAGAAAAAACACAAUAAAUUAUCAAAAUAACAAAAAUAAUUGGAGGUAAAUAUAGUAAAUAAUAAACAAAAGAAUGUAUUAGACAAACAAAAGGAGAUCCCUUGUUGCUUACUUCUAUUGGCUAUAUUGCAGGCGAUUUGUUCAGAUGGAAGAUUAACAAAAUGGAAGGGAGAAUCAGGGUGGUGGUCCUCUGGAAGCCUCCACUCAAGCGACUUCGAUUGUGGGUCGGUUUCUUUAUCAAAGGCCCCAAAGAGGUCUGCUAGAGAUUCCACCUCCGGCCUUCUGUAGUCCAGCAACCUGUGGUAAAAUACGCAUAGAUACCACAUUAUUUUGUGCUUCCUUUUCUUUUGCUAACUUUUAUUUUUCGCAGAGAUAGUAGGACAGAGUGGUGGUCGCCCAAGUUGUUAACAGCGGACGGCGGCUGCCGGAUGGCGGCGGAGGAGCUGUACUACUCCUCCAGAAGUGAGGUGUUCCGAUACCAAAAUCCAAAACCCAAAACGCCAAAGCCCUGCCACCGCGCAAGGAUGUUCCGCUAAUAAGUUUAGUCACACGUUCUUUUCUAAGUUAAAUUAAAAAUAUGUGGGGGACUCCAAUUUUUGGCAUCAAAAUAUAACUGGUUUUUAUUAAUCGAAAGUGUUGCGACGUUAAAAAUUCAAAUUAAGUUAUACUACAUAAAUAUUUUUUAUUGAAUUUGACCUUCAAAAUGUCAAUUCAGUUGGAAUUAAGAAUUUAUAUUGAAUGCAGCAACGUUCAAGAAAUCUCAUUCAAGUUAAAAUUAAGAACUUGUACGGACUGUGAAUCUCAAAAAAUUAAAUUCAGUUAAAUUUGAAAUUUUGUUUUGAAUGCAAAUUCAAAAAAUUAAAUUAAAUCAAACAUAAAAACUUUUUACUGGAUGUGGUGUUCAAAAUAACUACGUUGGUUAAGUUAAGAUUUUGUAAUCAGUGUGGUGUCCAAGAAAUUAUAUUCAGUUAAUAAAAAAUUUUGUCGUAAACAUGACUUUUAACGGAUCAAAUUAAGUUAAAUUCAAAAUUUUGUAUUGAAUUCAAGUUUAAAAGAUCAGGUUAAACCUAAAAAUUUUUGUCGAAUGUGACCUUCACAAUAUCAAAUUUAUUUAACAUCAAGAAUUUCGUAGUAAGUGUGACUUUCAACAAAUCAAAUUCAAUUAAAUUCAAAGUUUUGUACUAAAUCUCUUUUGCUUUUUUGCAGGUGUUUGCAUCCAUAUGCUUAUUAUUGUACACACGCAUUCAAAAAUCUGUACGUAUAUAUAUAUAUAUAUGCAAGUGUAUGUCUCUUGACCUUUUCUAAACUGAAGUUUAAAAAUUCGGCUUUUAUAAAACUAAUCCCAGAAGAAACCUCAAAAGCCGGCAACUCUUGAGGUCGUCCCAGGGACUUAUAAACCAAACCCAAACCCCCCCCCCAGAACCGAUGUAUGCAAGUGUAUGUAGUAGUAUGCAAUUUAAAUAUUUGACUGAUUACAUAUAGUAGUAACUCUUUAAGUUAAUUGGAUAUUAAGUACCAUUCAUUCCAACAGUUGACUAUAUUUUGAAUCGAAAUAAUUGUCAAUCAAUUAUGUUUUGAUAAUACUUUGAUGAAUUGGCCUCCAUCCUGUUUAAAAACUGGCAAAACCUUCGUGCAAAAUAUCCUUUUUGAAGUUGUGUGAUUUUGUCCUCCCAAUCGACGGUUAAUAAGGCAGAAGAUAAGCAACAACUGGCUAUUUCUUUCAUAUCACAUACAUAUAUAUAUAUAUGUCCUAAUAUGCAGUGGUACAUCAAAGUCACGAAAGUCUUUCAAAUACAUAUGCUGAUAUGCAACUAGGCAAGUAAAUCUUAAGCUAUUGAUUUCUUCUUGAUCCUUUUUUUCUCCCCACUCUCUCCCUUCCCACUUUACGUCUGGGGAUACGUCUGGGGAAUAAAAAUUUGCAGCACAGAUGCAGAGUCAAACAUGCCUUUUUCCCCUCUUUCCAAGUUAAUUUGUGAAUUGUGCGGAACAAUCUUAACAGUUGAGCAGAAUUCUCGAAUUGCCAUCUACACGAAUAUGACCUCAAAUUUAGCACAAGGAUUGCUUUCUAUGUGAUUUCUAAACUCACUGUCCCCCUUAAAUGUAAAGGUAUACAAUGCCUGUCUCUGUGUCAUGCCAAGAGGAUAUAUUC